UUUGCUGGUUUUACAGCAACAAGAAGAGCUAGAACUCUAGCAAAAUCUGAGUCAUAACGAACUCGGAUUGAGUCAAACCAAAAAGAGAAAGUGUUUGUCUUGAAGUCUUCUAUCUACUUUCAAAAUUUCAAGUCAAUCGGAGUAAGUUUGACCAUCGAGAAGUAGGUCGGAGUAAGCUUCCCUCCAUUUGGACGGAAAUCCUGAAUUCAAAUAGAUAAUAAAAGGACUUUUGAAAAGGAACCAAGGAACUAUACCAAGGACUCCCAUUAUGCAGGUACGAAAGAGUAUAAAGCUCAAGGAUUGGAUUUUGUUAGCACUGAAGAGUUAGAACUGUUUAUUAAUGUAGCUAAUGAUUGUAGUGAUUUCUUUGUAUCA